AACCCGUGUUGAGGACACUUCCGCAAGAGGUCCUUGAAUAGCUCCCAAGUCUUAAAAAAUGAUUCAAGCUCUAUCUGAACAAAUGAAGAUAUCUCAUUAUGAAGCU